GCCCUUAGAGUUUGAUCCUGGCUCAGGAUGAACGCUAGCUACAGGCUUAACACAUGCAAGUCGAGGGGCAGCAUUUCAGUUUGCUUGCAAACUGGAGAUGGCGACCGGCGCACGGGUGAGUAACACGUAUCCAACCUGCCGAUAACUCGGGGAUAGCCUUUCGAAAGAAAGAUUAAUACCCGAUGGCAUAAUUAGACCGCAUGGUCUUAUUAUUAAAGAAUUUCGGUUAUCGAUGGGGAUGCGUUCCAUUAGGCAGUUGGUGAGGUAACGGCUCACCAAACCUUCGAUGGAUAGGGGUUCUGAGAGGAAGGUCCCCCACAUUGGAACUGAGACACGGUCCAAACUCCUACGGGAGGCAGCAGUGAGGAAUAUUGGUCAAUGGGCGCAGGCCUGAACCAGCCAAGUAGCGUGAAGGAUGACUGCCCUAUGGGUUGUAAACUUCUUUUAUAUGGGAAUAAAGUUUUCCACGUGUGGAAUUUUGUAUGUACCAUAUGAAUAAGGAUCGGCUAACUCCGUGCCAGCAGCCGCGGUAAUACGGAGGAUCCGAGCGUUAUCCGGAUUUAUUGGGUUUAAAGGGAGCGUAGGUGGACAGUUAAGUCAGUUGUGAAAGUUUGCGGCUCAACCGUAAAAUUGCAGUUGAUACUGGCUGUCUUGAGUACAGUAGAGGUGGGCGGAAUUCGUGGUGUAGCGGUGAAAUGCUUAGAUAUCACGAAGAACUCCGAUUGCGAAGGCAGCUCACUGGACUGCAACUGACACUGAUGCUCGAAAGUGUGGGUAUCAAACAGGAUUAGAUACCCUGGUAGUCCACACAGUAAACGAUGAAUACUCGCUGUUUGCGAUAUACAGUAAGCGGCC
rnacentral:rRNA from 1 species